rnacentral:rRNA from 1 species
UACGAAGGGGGCUAGCGUUGCUCGGAAUGACUGGGCGUAAAGGGCGCGUAGGCGGAUGGCACAGUCAGAUGUGAAAUCCCCGGGCUUAACCUGGGAAUGGCAUUUGGGACUGCAAGGCUGGAGUGCGGCAGAGGAGACUGGAAUUCCCGGUGUAGCAGUGAAAUGCGUAGAUAUCGGGAGGAAUACCGAUGGCGAAGGCAGGUCUCUGGGCUGACACUGACGCUCAUGCACGAAAGCGUGGGGAGCAAACAGG